GAUGACGACGAUGACGACGAAGAGGAGGAUGGCGAGGAAGAGGAUAAUGGCGAUGUUGAUGAAAGCCAAGGCGAAGAAUUCAAUGAGGAUGACAAUGAAGACAGUGAUUGAAACCGGAAAGAGCAUCCAAGAUUCUCGCAUCUGAUCGUCGAUCAACGUAGAAAUGAUCCAGUGUAAUCUUAAUUCUCUAUGUAGCUCCCUUUUCUCUUUAGUUUUAUUGGAGAGCUUGUAGUCAGCGAUAUGAGAGCUAUAUCUAGGAGAUUGGACGUGG
rnacentral:misc_RNA from 1 species